GUGCUGAUGCAGCACAUGUACUAAAAUCGGAACGACGCGGUGAAGACUAGCAUGGCCCCUGCAUAGGAUGACUUGCAGAUUCGUGACAUAUUCUGUGUUUUC
ensembl:snRNA U6 U6 spliceosomal RNA